rnacentral:lncRNA from 1 species
AGUACAGGCUUUGGUCCACAGAGACAACAAUACUUUCAAUACUCUUUUGUUCUGCCCCAGGGGAGCUCAACACAGAAUUGCCUAGAACAAGAAACUGGUGAGAGAAGCUGCAGCCUGUUGAGACUCCACAAGACUGAAGAUAUGAAAAGAGGAAAUCUGCAUGAAUGCCCGCAUGGAGAACCACCCCCACCUGCUGCUCCCGCUCUAAUGAUCACGCCCAUUAUCAACUGAGGGAUGGCUCUGUGCCUUGUCCUUGCAUUACAUGGACCAAGAACACUUCACAGGACUCAGAGAGGAACCCGAAAGGAAGAAGCCUAUACGACUGGGGACACAUGUCUUAGAAGCACACCCAUGAGGUAAAGUGUCGCAUACUCUUUGAUAAG